GCUACCCGCUGACGAGCGGCGGACGGGUGAGUAAUGCUUAGGAAUCUGCCCAGUAGUGGGGGAUAGCCCGGGGAAACCCGGAUUAAUACCGCAUACGUCCUACGGGAGAAAGCAGGGGAUCUUCGGACCUUGCGCUAUUGGAUGGGCCUAAGUCGGAUUAGCUAGUUGGUGGGGUAAAGGCCUACCAAGGCGACGAUCCGUAGCUGGUCUGAGAGGAUGAUCAGCCACAUCGGGACUGAGACACGGCCCGAACUCCUACGGGAGGCAGCAGUGGGGAAUAUUGGACAAUGGGGGCAACCCUGAUCCAGCCAUGCCGCGUGUGUGAAGAAGGCUUUCGGGUUGUAAAGCACUUUCAGUAGGGAGGAAAACCUUAUGGCUAAUACCCAUGAGGCUUGACGUUACCUACAGAAGAAGCACCGGCUAACUCCGUGCCAGCAGCCGCGGUAAUACGGAGGGUGCAAGCGUUAAUCGGAAUUACUGGGCGUAAAGCGCGCGUAGGUGGUUUGGUAAGCGAGAUGUGAAAGCCCCGGGCUUAACCUGGGAACGGCAUUUCGAACUGUCAGACUAGAGUGUGGUAGAGGGUAGUGGAAUUUCCUGUG
rnacentral:rRNA from 1 species